rnacentral:rRNA from 1 species
UUUAUGGAGAGUUUGAUCCUGGCUCAGGAUGAACGCUGGCGGCGUGCCUAAUACAUGCAAGUCGAGCGAACAGAUAAGGAGCUUGCUCCUUUGACGUUAGCGGCGGACGGGUGAGUAACACGUGGGUAACCUACCUAUAAGACUGGAAUAACUCCGGGAAACCGGGGCUAAUGCCGGAUAACAUGUUGAACCGCAUGGUUCUACAGUGAAAGACGGUCUUGCUGUCACUUAUAGAUGGACCCGCGCCGUAUUAGCUAGUUGGUGGGGUAACGGCCUACCAAGGCGACGAUACGUAGCCGACCUGAGAGGGUGAUCGGCCACACUGGAACUGAGACACGGUCCAGACUCCUACGGGAGGCAGCAGUAGGGAAUCUUCCGCAAUGGGCGAAAGCCUGACGGAGCAACGCCGCGUGAGUGAUGAAGGUCUUCGGAUCGUAAAGCUCUGUUGUUAGGGAAGAACAAAUGUGUAAGUAACUGUGCACAUCUUGACGGUACCUAACCAGAAAGCC